rnacentral:rRNA from 1 species
CGGACGGGUGAGUAACACGUGGAUAACCUACCUAUAAGACUGGGAUAACUUCGGGAAACCGGAGCUAAUACCGGAUAAUAUAUUGAACCGCAUGGUUCAAUGGUGAAAGACGGUUUUGCUGUCACUUAUAGAUGGAUCCGCGCCGCAUUAGCUAGUUGGUAAGGUAGCGGCUUACCAAGGCAACGAUGCGUAGCCGACCUGAGAGGGUGAUCGGCCACACUGGAACUGAGACACGGUCCAGACUCCUACGGGAGGCAGCAGUC